CCUCCCAUCCGUGUUGAACUACACCUGUUGCUUCGGCGGGCCCGCCGUGGUUCACGCCCGGCCGCCGGGGGGCCUUGUGCUCCCGGGCCCGCGCCCGCCGAAGACCCCUCGAACGCUGCCCUGAAGGUUGCCGUCUGAGUAUAAAAUCAAUCAUUAAAACUUUCAACAACGGAUCUCUUGGUUCCGGCAUCGAUGAAGAACGCAGCGAAAUGCGAUAAGUAAUGUGAAUUGCAGAAUUCCGUGAAUCAUCGAAUCUUUGAACGCACAUUGCGCCCCCUGGCAUUCCGGGGGGCAUGCCUGUCCGAGCGUCAUUGCUAACCCUCCAGCCCGGCUGGUGUGUUGGGUCGACGUCCCCCCCGGGGGACGGGCCCGAAAGGCAGCGGCGGCGCCGCGUCCGAUCCUCGAGCGUAUGGGGCUUUGUCACGCGCUCUGGUAGGGUCGGCCGGCUGGCCAGCCAGCGACCUCACGGUCACCUAUUUUUUCUCUUAGGUUGACCUCGGAUCAGGUAGGGAUACCCGCUGAACUUAAGCAUAUCAAUAAGCGGAGGA
rnacentral:rRNA from 1 species